UCUGUCACGGUGCCACUGGCUUUCUGUCACGCUCCCCAUUUCUGUCCCAAGGGUUACAGGUAAACUGCCACCCGAGGUUGCUAAAUUUGUUCACUCUUUUUUACAGUUUCCUCUACUGAGGUCACGUUGGCAGCUGUUUCCCUAUUUAGGAACUUAAAUGCAGUCCUCCGGUGGGUAUCCUGGGAAGCUAUUCUGUGCAGCACCACGCCGCCACCCGUGACUCCUCUUCCUCCCUUCACCUGCUCUGUGCUCUACAGACAACAGUUAGUCCCUGACUGCUUCCGGCCCCAGGUAGGCCUGCCUUUCAGUUCACCGGAGCUCUCCUGCCGGGAGUCAUGGACAAACACCUCAUUCCCUCCUCGCUGGGAACUGGAUGCAAAUAUGGGCAGGUGUGAACCCUAGAUGUGAAUUUGAGCCCGUUGGAAGGUACGUUUCUAAGGCGCAAGCCCAUUCUGAAGGAUCGCCCAGGACACGUCUUCCCUGGAGACCCCCACGGUAGCAGACACUUGCCUCCUGAAGGGUUGAAGACAGUGGAGCAAGGCACCGGGAUCAGAAUCCAAAUCCUGUCUGGGACAGCUACGAGAGUCAUCCUUUCACAUUGGAGCUCCUAUCAGCACAUAUCUCUGGCCAAGUCUUCAAGGGCGCCACAUGCUUUGGGGCAAAGCUCAAAUUCCUCAGCGUCAUCUAAAGUGCCCUUCGUGAGAUGGCUCCUGCUUACUGUCUGGCCCCUGUUGGGAGAGGCAGUCCGCAUGGGAGCUGAGUGUCUCUGCACACCCUUACCAAGCAUGCCAGACUGCAAGAAUUGCCCUCUCCUGACACUGAGCAGUUCCUGCAGCCAGUCACAUAGGGACCCAAGGAGAUCCAGGUGAUGACAGCAUGGUCACUGUGUUUCUGCUUGCUCCCUUGGAGUGGGGGACUUGAGAGCUGCUUGCUUCAAAAGGGCUGUGCCUUUGGGUCUGGGUUCCUCAGCUUCAGAGCAAACCUACUGAAUGUGUAGCAUGCAUCCGGGUCGAUCACAUGACUUCUGUGUCAUCUGGGGGAAAAAGGAGGCCAGUGCAAAUAUGCUGAAGAUAAAGCUGUUUGCUACCCCGUUAAUAAUAAAGUACUUUGUCUCUGACCCGGGAAUCUUGUGUCAUCUGCCAUGAUCCACAAAACCAUACCAAGCUAACUUGUUAGCUUGCAAGUAGAGAAAAUUCCAUACCUUUCACGGUUUUUGACAGCCCUGUCUCCUCCUAUCUCUUGUUCCAUCUCUCAUCCUAUGCUCUGGUUAUACUGACCUGUUUCCUGUCCCUGUGCCUUGAAAGAUGCUGAUCCCACUUCCCCAAAUCUUAUCUACUUUCUUUUCUUUUUUUUUUUUUUAAGUUUAUUUAUUUAUUUUGAGAGAGAGAAAGAGAGAGAGUGCGUGUGUUUGUGCGAA